UUCCUCAUGGUUCAGCCAGAGACUCAGGUAUAAAAUCAUAGCUGCCUCUACCUGUUGCAAAGGACCAUUGGAAGCCACAUAGUCUCCCCCGACAGCCCAGCUGUAGAGUUCCACUGGUCAUGGUUUCCCUCACCAUUUAUGGAAAUAUCUAUUAGUGAGAAAGUCAAUAUGAAGGAACUUCUAGCUAACAUUACCCUUUCUAAGAUUGGUUUUACCCCCUUCAUCCAAAUGAAAGGACAGUAAAAACAAAGAAUGAAAUCAAGAACAGAAAGGAAUAUUCACAGUGGCACCAUUUUCCAUUUCUGUCUGGUGCAUUUGGAUACUUUCAUCUUUGACAAAAAUCCUUGAUAAGAAAACCAAAGCACAGAGAAACUAAGUGACUUGCCCAAGUGUUCACCUCCCAAGUCUCUGUAGCUAAUCUUCUGUCAAGACUAUCCUGAUAAUGCAGCCUCUAAGUCAUGCUGAGUCAGAACUAACCAGGAUGGAAAAAUGGAAGACAUUAAUACAGAUGGAUUCACAAACUCAAGAGCACCCAAAGGAGAUAAAUUUGGAAGAGGGCACAGAUGAGGUAAAAAAUGCAGAUGAAGAUGAGGAGGACGAUGACAUCAGAGAGGAAAGUGGGGAGGAAGAUGAAAUGGAAGAGCACUCACAUUUGGCGUCUGAUGAAAAGUAUGUGGGCCACCUGCCCAGGACCUAGCAGUAGUGGGUGAGGCUUGCAAGGCACCACAUGGAGCCUAACACAACUGACAACAAAAUGCUGAAAGGAGCCCAGGCCAUGAUAAAAACUGUCUUUGAUUACUUAAGAUGCUACGCUGGAACAAAAGUGAAAGUGGAUAGUGAAUUCUCUCAGUAU